GCCUGUGGUCUGUGCAGGAACACUCAGAACCAGACAUCACCCACAGGCUCAGCUGGAAGUGGCUGAUCAGGAAAGGUCUGGACACACCUCGGAUUGGCCAUGGCAUCGCCUCUGCACAGGAAAACAUCUGUAUCAGCAGAACCAACAGAACUGGACGAAAUCCUAAUUUACCAUGGUCUGUAAAAGAGGCUGAAGUGCCUAUUUCCAGUGAGGCGAAUUUGAAAUUGAAAGAGGAAAACGAGUGCAUUGAAGAGAUCAGAAGCUCCUUUCCAAGCCUGUAUCUGGUGCAGAUGGUGCAAACAAAGUGCCAAGUGAUCUGCCCCCACUUUUCUGCACAGCAAGCAAGAAGACAUCACUGCAUCUAACAGGUGGAAGUGGGCACCUUCACCAGCAGGCACCAGCCCCAAUUCAUUCACCCUGCACCAGAGGCAUCUCAGCAAGCCAAGCAGCUCUACCCUGCUUCACCCGUGGAAAGAACACAGCACCAGAGCAAGGCCAGGGUGCUGAGCAGGCCGGGGGAAGAUCCCAAGGGACAGCCUGCAAAAUACCAUAUGGAUGCUGGGAUCAUUUUAUUGCAAAAGGUCACCUGCUGCCUUCUGGAUGAAGUGUAAAAAGAGCCAGUGGAGAUGGCUGGCAAUGCCUGUAGAAGAGAAUCCAUCCCUGAAAUGCAGCUCAGGUCAAACCACUGCCACCAUGAUCUCAAGUCUCCAGCUCUUCACAGUGAUCAGGGGUGGGCAGAACCAGAGGUGGACCAGAGCCUCAGCACCCACCUGUGCAAAGGAGAGCACUCCCAGGGCAGUGUCUGCAGGGCUCCAAGGCACAGACAGUCGAGAUG